rnacentral:rRNA from 1 species
AACGAACGCUGGCGGCAUGCCUAACACAUGCAAGUCGAACGAACCCUUCGGGGUUAGUGGCGCACGGGUGCGUAACGCGUGGGAAUCUGCCCUUUGCUUCGGAAUAACAGUUAGAAAUGACUGCUAAUACCGGAUGAUGUCUUCGGACCAAAGAUUUAUCGGCAAGGGAUGAGCCCGCGUAGGAUUAGGUAGUUGGUGGGGUAAAGGCCUACCAAGCCGACGAUCCUUAGCUGGUCUGAGAGGAUGAUCAGCCACACUGGGACUGAGACACGGCCCAGACUCCUACGGGAGGCAGCAGUGGGGAAUAUUGGACAAUGGGCGAAAGCCUGAUCCAGCAAUGCCGCGUGAGUGAUGAAGGCCUUAGGGUUGUAAAGCUCUUUUACCCGGGAUGAUAAUGACAGUACCGGGAGAAUAAGCCCCGGCUAACUCCGUGCCAGCAGCCGCCGUAA